UUAGAAAAACAGGCCUCGAACCUGUACUAAAGGACUCAAAACCCUCCGUACUUCCACUAUACUAUUUCCU
rnacentral:tRNA from 1 species